AGGUUAAGCUAGAAAGAGCACACGGAGGAUGCCUAGGCGCUAGGAGCCGAAGAAGGACGUGGCGAACGACGAAAUGCCUCGGGGAGCCGUAAG
rnacentral:rRNA from 1 species